CUAAUACAUGCAAGUCGAGCGCGGGAAGCAGACUGAAGCCUUCGGGCGGACGUCUGUGGAAUGAGCGGCGGACGGGUGAGUAACACGUGGGCAACCUGCCUGUAAGACCGGGAUAACUCGCGGAAACGUGAGCUAAUACCGGAUAAAGCUCCAUGCCGCAUGGCAUGGGGAUGAAAGACGGCUUAGCUGUCGCUUGCAGAUGGGCCCGCGGCGCAUUAGCUAGUUGGUGGGGUGAUGGCUCACCAAGGCGACGAUGCGUAGCCGACCUGAGAGGGUGAUCGGCCACACUGGGACUGAGACACGGCCCAGACUCCUACGGGAGGCAGCAGUAGGGAAUCUUCCGCAAUGGACGCAAGUCUGACGGAGCAACGCCGCGUGAGUGAGGAAGGUCUUCGGAUCGUAAAACUCUGUUGUUAGGGAAGAACACGUACGAGAGUCACUGCUCGUACCUUGACGGUACCUAACCAGAAAGCCACGGCUAACUACGUGCCAGCAGCCGCGGUAAUACGUAGGUGGCAAGCGUUGUCCGGAAUUAUUGGGCGUAAAGCGCGCGCAGGCGGCUUCUUAAGUCUGAUGUGAAAUCUCGCGGCUCAACCGUGAGCGGUCAUUGGAAACUGGGGAGCUUGAGUACAGAAGAGGAGAGCGGAAUUCCACGUGUAGCGGUGAAAUGCGUAGAGAUGUGGAGGAACACCAGUGGCGAAGGCGG
rnacentral:rRNA from 1 species